rnacentral:ncRNA from 2 species
UACUUGGUUGAUCCUGCCAAGGAAGCACACUUAGGUCAUAGAUUAAGCCAUGCAAGUGUUAGUUCAGGUAACGAAACUGCGAAUAGCUCAUUAAUACGCUCAGAAUCUAUUUGGCGGCGACCAACAGGUCUUAAAUGGAUAGCAGCAGCAACUCUGGUGCUAAUACAUGCGAUUGUUUCUCCAGAUGUGAAUUAUGGAGGAAAAGUUGACCUCAUCAGAGGCACGCCAUUCGACUGAGUGACCUAUCAGCUUGUACUUAGGGUCUUUACCUAGGUAGGCUAUCACGGGUAACGGGCGGUUACCGUCGGACUGCCGGAGAAGGCGCCUGAGAGAUAGCGACUAUAUCCACGGGUAGCAGCAGGCGCGAAACUUUCCCACUCGAGACUUUCGGAGGAGGUAAUGACCAGUUCCAUUGGUGCCUUUUGGUACUGUGGAUAGGGGUACGGUUUUCCACCGUACCGAAACCUAGCAGAGGGCCAGUCUGGUGCCAGCAGCUGCGGUAAUUCCAGCUCUGCGAGUUUGCUCCCAUAUUGUUGCAGUUAAAACGCCCGUAGUCUGAAUUGGCCAGCAAUGGUCGUACGUAUUUUUACGUUCACUGUGAACAAAUCAGGACGCUUAGAGUAUGGCCACAUGAAUGACUCAGCGCAGUAUGAAGUCUUUGUUUUCUUCCGAAAACAAGCUCAAUGAGAGCCAUCGGGGGGUAGAUCUAUCUCAUGACGAGUGGUGGAAUACUUUGACUCAUGAGAGAGAAGCUGAGGCGAGGCGUCUACCUAGAGGGUUUCUGUCGAUCAAGGCGAGAGUAGGAGUAUCCAACAGGAUUAGAGACCCUGGUAGUUCCUACCUUAAACGAUGCCGACAGGAGUUUGUCAUUUGUUAAUGGCAGAAUCUUUGGAGAAAUCAUAGUUCUUGGGCUUCUGGGGGAACUACGACCGCAAGGCUG